rnacentral:rRNA from 1 species
AACGAACGCUGGCGGCAGGCCUAACACAUGCAAGUCGAGCGGUAACGCGGGAGCAAUCCUGGCGACGAGCGGCGAACGGGUGAGUAACACGUGGGUGACCUGCCCUCAGCUCUGGGAUAAGCCUGGGAAACCGGGUCUAAUACUGGAUAUGACUCCAUGGCGCAUGUUGUGGGGUGGAAAGCCUUGUGCGGCUGAGGAUGGGCCCGCGGCCUAUCAGCUUGUUGGUGGGGUGAUGGCCUACCAAGGCGA